rnacentral:piRNA from 1 species
UGAAGAAACUACCCUUCAUGACAAGUGCU